rnacentral:misc_RNA from 1 species
UACCUAGCCCCUUACAACAUUGAUAUAUUUCACACUCUUCCAAGUUUCUACAACAAGAAUAAAUCCAAUGAAUAUAUUACAGUUUACAUUGAAGGUGGGGAAAAUAAGAAGCAAGCCUAAACUCAAGAACUAGCUAAAUAAUUCCUUUUUUUUAAAUAAUGCUUUUUUGUCUUUUAUAUUGGGAGGAAAAAAAUACAAAAAUAAAGGAAAACCCCCACCAGAAAGCUCACCAGCAAUAACUGUUAGCCUAUUCUUUGUAGAUGUGCUGAAUUGACAUGUAUUGGAAGCUAUACUCAACCAUGAAAUUCUGUAGCAGGAUGAAUGCCAAUACAUGCUGAAGUAGGCAUGAAUAUGAUCUCUCAGCGUCCUGUUUUUGCGCGUUU